UUUGUUCUAGAGCACACAUGCCUGAAAGCGCUAGUUAUAGCAACAGGAUUGUAAACAUUUUGUUAAACAAUUGACCACCUAAAACAUCUCCUAGCUGCCUUGGGGGUGAGCCCACCCAUUGGACGAGACACUGCAUGACGAGACACUGCGUGAGGAGACACUGAGCAGCGACAGCAGCAGGAGUGCCCGUUGAGAUGACCCAGCAGGAAGGUGAAGAUGUAUUAGCCCAUUUGAAACAAGAUUCCUGUGACAGAAAAUAAAAAGAAGCAAUCAAUAAUGUGCAAGGAUGAGUCUUCCACUAGCAGCCUUUGGAUGAAGACGUAGAACUCUCAGCUAUGCCUGCGCCAUGACAGCCUGGAUGCUGCCAUGCUCCCACCUUGAUCAUAAUGGACUGAACCUCUGAACCUGUAAGCCAGCCCCAAUUAAAUGUUGUUUUUUUAUAAGACUUGCCUUGGUCAUGGUUUCUGUUCACAGCAGUAAAACACUAACUAAGACAAGGGCCAGUCUCUCUGAAAUAUACAGAAGGUAGUGAUUCCCUGCAUUGGUUCAUAGAACUUCUUAGGUUGCUUUGCCCAUGGCUCACUGACUUGUGUUUCACUGGUCUCAUGUGGAAGGGCAGGGUGUUGCCAACACUGAAAAAGAUCACAUUCUUGGAAUGUAGUGGCUAUGGCCUAGAAUUCAGGAGAAUUUGUACAAGACAUAUUUUUCUAAAUUUAUGUUACAAAAUUGUGAACAGUACAUUUAGCAUGACCAGAAAGGAAGUCAUUUUUUCUUCACCUUAAGAUUAAGAUUAUUUGCUGAGACUCAGUGAAGCAUAGCGGGAACCACUGGGAGCCAGGCAUGGAACAAUUCUGUGAUGUAACUGAUAUUGUGUUCAUGGUAAAUAGAGCCCAGUGGAUCAC
rnacentral:lncRNA from 1 species